rnacentral:piRNA from 1 species
UGAUACCCACGUCUCUAGAUCAAGGGCCUC